CUGGGCUCUGGGCCGGGCUCUGAGCUGAGAUGCAGGGUUGGGUGCAGCAGGCCAGGUGCUCCCAUCCCCGUUCCUGCAGCUCUGCAGGGAGCUCUGCCUAAUCCCCCUCCCUCAGCCCAGGCUCACCCAGCUGUCAACUAACCAUGGUCGCGACCCCCCAGGGACGGCUUUUCUUGUUGUUUCAAAAGUGCAGGCCUGGGAUCCCCCUGUUGCCAGCGUGGGACUUCCCACAGGUAUCAGGUUUUCUCAUCUGCAAAAUAGGCAGAAAAAUCUGAAGGUGGUUCUUUCCCUCCAAGUCACAAGGAGGCCGAGGCGGAGCUCGGUGGGCUGAGCGAAGGCGAUGUGAGUGGUGGUCGUGUCUGUGUCUCCUGUGCUCCAGACUUGGCACCACCGGUCACCCCCACACCCCCUGCACGGCCGCGGCUGCUGGUGUCCUGGACGCUGCACUGCUUUGCCAGAGGCCAGAGC
rnacentral:lncRNA from 1 species